UGAGGCAAUCUUAUCCCAGCUUUCUGGGACAAGCCCAAUAAUGACUGAGGGCAAGAACACCUUAACUACCUUGGCUGUGCCGACUCCCAAGAGAACAAAUACUUCCCGAUUUGUCCAAAUCAUGAUUGGAUCAAUUCCAGUCAACCUAUAUCCUACAGAUUCUGUUCUGAUGACUUCCACCAACGAAGCUAGAGAUGAAGGUCAAAAGGACGACUUCGUG
rnacentral:lncRNA from 1 species